AGAAUGAACCGGCGAGUUACGAUCCCGUGCGAGGUUAAGCUGAAGAGGCGGAGCCGCAGCGAAAGCGAGUCUGAAUAGGGCGUUUAGUACGUGGUCGUAGACCCGAAACCAGGUGAUCUACCCAUGUCCAGGGUGAAGUUCAGGUAACACUGAAUGGAGGCCCGAACCCACGCACGUUGAAAAGUGCGGGGAUGAGGUGUGGGUAGCGGAGAAAUUCCAAUCGAACCUGGAGAUAGCUGGUUCUCCCCGAAAUAGCUUUAGGGCUAGCCUUAAGUGUAAGAGUCUUGGAGGUAGAGCACUGAUUGGACUAGGGGUCCUCAUCGGAUUACCGAAUUCAGUCAAACUCCGAAUGCCAAUGACUUAUCCUUAGGAGUCAGACUGCGAGUGAUAAGAUCCGUAGUCAAAAGGGAAACAGCCCAGACCGCCAGCUAAGGUCCCAAAGUGUGUAUUAAGUGGAAAAGGAUGUGGAGUUGCUUAGACAACUAGGAUGUUGGCUUAGAAGCAGCCACCAUUUAAAGAGUGCGUAAUAGCUCACUAGUCGAGUGACUCUGCGCCGAAAAUGUACCGGGGCUAAAUACACCACCGAAGCUGCGGAUUGAUACCAAUGGUAUCAGUGGUAGGGGAGCGUUCUAAGGACAGUGAAGUCAGACCGGAAGGACUGGUGGAGUGCUUAGAAGUGAGAAUGCCGGUAUGAGUAGCGAAAGACGGGUGAGAAUCCCGUCCACCGAAUGCCUAAGGUUUCCUGAGGAAGGCUCGUCCGCUCAGGGUUAGUCAGGACCUAAGCCGAGGCCGACAGGCGUAGGCGAUGGACAACAGGUUGAUAUUCCUGUACCACCUCUUUAUCGUUUGAGCAAUGGAGGGACGCAGAAGGAUAGAAGAAGCGUGCGAUUGGUUGUGCACGUCCAAGCAGUUAGGCUGAUAAGUAGGCAAAUCCGCUUAUCGUGAAGGCUGAGCUGUGAUGGGGAAGCUCCUUAUGGAGCGAAGUCUUUGAUUCCCCGCUGCCAAGAAAAGCUUCUAGCGAGAUAAAAGGUGCCUGUACCGCAAACCGACACAGGUAGGCGAGGAGAGAAUCCUAAGGUGUGCGAGAGAACUCUGGUUAAGGAACUCGGCAAAAUGACCCCGUAACUUCGGGAGAAGGGGUGCUUUCUUAACGGAAAGCCGCAGUGAAUAGGCCCAAGCGACUGUUUAGCAAAAACACAGCUCUCUGCGAAGCCGUAAGGCGAAGUAUAGGGGGUGACACCUGCCCGGUGCUGGAAGGUUAAGGAGAGGGGUUAGCGUAAGCGAAGCUCUGAACUGAAGCCCCAGUAAACGGCGGCCGUAACUAUAACGGUCCUAAGGUAGCGAAAUUCCUUGUCGGGUAAGUUCCGACCCGCACGAAAGGUGUAACGAUUUGGGCACUGUCUCAACCAGAGACUCGGUGAAAUUAUAGUACCUGUGAAGAUGCAGGUUACCCGCGACAGGACGGAAAGACCCCGUGGAGCUUUACUGUAGCCUGAUAUUGAAUUUUGGUACAGUUUGUACAGGAUAGGCGGGAGCCUUUGAAACCGGAGCGCUAGCUUCGGUGGAGGCGCUGGUGGGAUACCGCCCUGACUGUAUUGAAAUUCUAACCUACGGGUCUUAUCGACCCGGGAGACAGUGUCAGGUGGGCAGUUUGACUGGGGCGGUCGCCUCCUAAAGUGUAACGGAGGCGCCCAAAGGUUCCCUCAGAAUGGUUGGAAAUCAUUCGUAGAGUGCAAAGGCAUAAGGGAGCUUGACUGCGAGACCUACAAGUCGAGCAGGGACGAAAGUCGGGCUUAGUGAUCCGGUGGUUCCGCAUGGAAGGGCCAUCGCUCAACGGAUAAAAGCUACCCCGGGGAUAACAGGCUUAUCUCCCCCAAGAGUCCACAUCGACGGGGAGGUUUGGCACCUCGAUGUCGGCUCAUCGCAUCCUGGGGCUGUAGUCGGUCCCAAGGGUUGGGCUGUUCGCCCAUUAAAGCGGUACGCGAGCUGGGUUCAGAACGUCGUGAGACAGUUCGGUCCCUAUCCGUCGUGGGCGUAGGAAAUUUGAGAGGAGCUGUCCUUAGUACGAGAGGACCGGGAUGGACGCACCGCUGGUGUACCAGUUGUUCUGCCAAGGGCAUAGCUGGGUAGCUAUGUGCGGAAGGGAUAAGUGCUGAAAGCAUCUAAGCAUGAAGCCCCCCUCAAGAUGAGAUUUCCCAUAGCGUAAGCUAGUAAGAUCCCUGAAAGAUGAUCAGGUUGAUAGGUUCGAGGUGGAAGCAUGGUGACAUGUGGAGCUGACGAAUACUAAUAGAUCG
rnacentral:rRNA from 1 species